AACGAACGCUGGCGGCAGGCUUAACACAUGCAAAUCGAACGCCCCGCAAGGGGAGUGGUAGACGGGUGAGUAACGCGUGGGAAUCUACCCAGUUCUACGGAAUAACCCAGGGAAACUUGGACUAAUACCGUAUACGCCCUACGGGGGAAAGAUUUAUCGGAAUUGGAUGAGCCCGCGUUGGAUUAGCUAGUUGGUGGGGUAAUGGCCUACCAAGGCGACGAUCCAUAGCUGGUCUGAGAGGAUGAUCAGCCACACUGGGACUGAGACACGGCCCAGACUCCUACGGGAGGCAGCAGUGGGGAAUAUUGGACAAUGGGCGCAAGCCUGAUCCAGCCAUGCCGCGUGAGUGAUGAAGGCCUUAGGGUUGUAAAGCUCUUUCAGUGGGGACGAUAAUGACGGUACCCACAGAAGAAGCCCCGGCUAACUUCGUGCCAGCAGCCGCCGUAACAC
rnacentral:rRNA from 1 species